AGCAUCCCCAACUCCUAACCCAUAAACACCGUUUCUUCACACAUCCGCCCAGAAAUCCUGUAAUAGAAAAACAUUAAAACUGUAACCCUGUAGGGAAGAAAAUGUAAAUGGUAACGCUGCGCAGUUACCUCUGUAAGCAACACAAGACACAAAAAUGGCAUUUACAGGUUCACUCAUCCUCGAAUAUUUUGUCAUCCUUCUACUCCUGUAAAAGAAACCCACAUAAAUUCAUCCACCCUUUUAUCCUAUCUAGGUGGAGGUGGUUAACCUUGAGUCAUGGUCAAGUCUUGUCAUCUUUUACCAGUCAGUCCGUUUGUUUUUAUUCCCAGUCUUUCAUCCAUUCAUCCGUUCUUUGCUGAUAGUGAAACCUGUCGUCGCAUCUAGUUUCCACACUCAGCAAAAUGACGUCAUCUCAAAAAGAAACAAGAACUUGAGUUUGGAUUACCUCGCCGAAUCCUUUUUUAAACAGGGACUCUCGUUUCUAAUUGUCCCCACAAGUGUUUCCUCCAGAACCCAUUUCAAUGCGGAGAAACUCACUUACAACAAUUUUCUCGCCGACGUGUAAUGCUUGUAAUUUCCGAUGUGCAGAUCUGCUUAAAGAAAAGAUUCACCAACAAAAAUCAGUAAAUAUAAAACAAAAUAAAAUGAAAAAUAACAAAAACAAAAUGCAGACGCCCGGGUCUUAGGACUUGUCACUGAAUAUUCUUCCCAUCAAUAAAAAUACCAACCUAAACCUACACAGAGUCAAAUCAACACCACCUCAACCUUUUCAUAUUCAUAAACCUAUAUGUUUUGCGUUCGUGAAACAAAAUUGAACCAUUAAGUAAGUUGAGCUCUUGAAAUGUUUUAAUUCUCUUAAUUCUGCCAGUUUAUUUCAACACUUAUUCAAUGACUUUUAUUCAACUGCUACUUGGUCACUCGACUUUUACCUGUUCAAAUUGCCUAGGGUUCAACAAAGUCUAGAUCCCCGUUUUCAUGAAACUUGAACGGUGUACGAUGAUUUACUUACAGUAAUUUAGAAUCAUCACUCAACCUAGCUCUACUACUGGCACUGCGUGACUUUUCUCACACUGGAAACCAGAAUUUAGUACAGAACUUUAAUGCCUCAGGCAAUCGCGUUCAAGAGCUGCCCCCCCUUCUCUUCUUCUUUGUCCGUGUGUUCCUCCUUUAUUAAAUCUCCAUCACAAUGACGUGGCGCUCUGAAAUAAAACUCACACUGUUAAUUCCUCGUUUUCACUCUGCACCACUGCUCAGAGUGUUUUCUUUUCUUUUUAGUGUAGAGUAAACAAUUAAGUCGAGGCCUUAAGCCCCAGAUAUCUCGCACGGGCAUCAUUUUCAUAACCAAACCGCUCCGGACACUGCUCCCCAGACCACACAAAUGCCCUCCGGGCUUAUUAUUAUAGCAAAUUCUGUAUUUGACUUUGUUGUGUGCAGCAUUGAGCCUUUGUCAGUAAAGCAUUCUUCAUUGCAGCAGCUGGAGCAUUGUGUGUCACUUCUUAGUAAAUUAAAUCAACAUUUUGAUUUUAGUGCAUGGGUAUGUAUCAGUUUUUACUCCCUCAACAAGUGCAUAAGUGUUCAUGUGUGUGUUUCCCUUCAUUCUAAGUAGGCGCAUGCAGAAGUGUGUGUUCGUGUGUUGGUAUAUGUUUGUGUUCAUCACCUUUCUGUUCUGUAGUUUAGGUAAACCAGCGGCCUGACGCAUGGCCUAGGGUCCUCCCCUCCUCUUUGGGUCUGUUUUCAUCCGUUGUUGCAGCUGCCUGCAUCUUCCUUACUUUGCUCCACGGCCUUCUGCAGCUCUGCUGUUCGGCUCUUCUCAGAGGUCAGCAUCCUUCUGCUCACCGUCCCUUUUCCUCCGGGCUUAAUGCGCGUCUCGUCACAGCUCUGUCAGCUGACGCAGCCUGGGAAUUUCCCCCGUGUAGUGAAACGGGCUUUAGGUUUAGUGCUCUCCGUCUCUGCUGCAUGAGAUCACUCUUUUGCAGCACUGUUGACAUCCUCAAGUUGUUGUUGUGAGUCCAGCUGCUGUGGCCUUCAGGGGUCAAAGGGUCAAAGAUGGUCGCGGAGAGGGCAACGAUGGUAGAGGGGAGGGUAGGAGUCCAGGUCAGCUUCGGCUCUCAGAAAAAACAAAAACAAAACAAAACAGGCGAACAGGAAAAUGAUGUUGUGUUGGCUGUGCUGUGUUGGCUGUGUUAUCCCGAGAGGGGAGAAACAACGAGAUCUCGUCUCCCCCCUUUUUUGUUUUUGUUUUUUUUUUUUUUUUUUUUUUUUUUUUUCACCAUAUAAUCAACUCCUAACCCCUCAAGUUGACAGGACAACACAGGUACGUGUUAAAAUUCUUAAGAUCCUGUUUAGAAACCUAAAAAGGAAUUUCCUAUCAUUCAGUAGUCAUUUGUCUUAAACAAUCAACAAAAACAUGUCCCAAGUCGACCCUUUUAACCACUAAAUUUGUCGUGUCCUCACUUAAUCCUCAGACCAGUGUCUUUGUCUUUUAACGUUACGUUGUUGUCCUGCAACCCAAAGCGUUUAAUUGUCAGUAAUGUAUAAACUAUAUCAUUUAAAAACAGGUGUAUGUUAAGUGUCGCUACUUUAACCUUGCAUGUACGUGCACAUGUAUGUAAGCUGUUUCUUCAUUGCAUGUAUGGGUGCGUCUGUAUAUGGGUUACUUUAACUUUUUCUCAAACGAGGCAUGUCUCUAACACGCACAUGUGUCUGUUCCUCACCCUUCUCAUAUCUUUCUCUGGUUGUGUGUGGUUUUAUUUGUUUCAGUGAUUUACCAGGAACAUCUUUUCCUUUUCUCCAUGUCUUCCGCCAGAGGUUAACACCGGUGAGAUUCAGGGACACAGCACCCAGAGCGGUUCAGCAAGAAAAACCCGCCUCAAACUACAUUCUCUCUUUUUUGUUUUACCGGGAGGGGUGAGGACAACUCUGGUGUCCAGCCGUGAAUUUUAGCCAAAGCUUGGCCUGUCUUCUGCUGCCGUACUCAGGCUUCCAGGCUGGUGUGUGGAGUUGAUGACUGUCUCAACACAUGUUAAUUGUUCUCCCAAUGUGCUAAGAAUAACACCGGGACCCCAACCAUCAUCAUUAGUUUCUCGA
ensembl:lncRNA